AAAAUAAAAAGAAAUAAAACUAAAUAAAAUAAAUAAAAAUAACAAAACUUAAAAAUAAAAAGGAAAGAAAACCAAAAAUCCCCAAUUCCCCCAAACCCACGAAUUCCAUCAGACCCCCCAAUUCUCUUCUCUUUGUGGCUGCUCUGAACUUUCAUCACCACCACCUCACCAUCAUCAACCUCCCUGAGUCUCUCCUCUCCUCUCGUACUCUUCGCUGCGCCGCUGCCCCUUCACGGUUUCCUCCUUGCAAACAGUAAGUUUGCUCUAAUUUAUUUAGCCCCAAUUGCUCAAUAAUCAAGUGCUUUCCCAUGAAUGUUAAUCCUAAUUUUGCUAUAUUUCUUUCUUUGCAUGCAAAGCUUGUUGUCUGUUUGAUAUUUGCAAAUCAAAUCAAAUUACUUGUAAUUAGGGUUCGAAAAUGUAAUUGAAUUGGGGGUUUUAAAUUAUUUUGUUUUUUACUUGAAUUUUGUGUUUAAUUGAGCUUAAUUAUGCUUCUGAAUUGUUCUUCGAAUUUACUUGAACACAUUUGGAUCGAGUUACAUUUCAGAAAUUUGAUUUGUAUUUUCAAGGUUUUAGAAAUUUGAUUUAGUAAUAAUGCGAAACUUACUAGAGACAGAUUAAAAUUACGGUUAAAAUUGAAAGAGAAAUCUCUUUCAGUUUAAAAUAAAAUCCAAUAAAUAACUUUGUGCUUGAUCAAAUUCCCAACUCUGAUUGUGUUGAUUCUGGGAAUACCCAGAUAAAAAAAAAAGAUGUUUGCUGAGUUUGUUAUGUUACAAGUUUUUGACAAUUUCCCUCAAACAUAAUCCUAAUUAGACAAUAUCUGUAAGAACUUGUACAUUAGUAAUCUUUUUGAAUUGUCACCUUAGCAUUUUUAGUCGUGUUGUUUUUCAUUAUAAAAUUAUCUUGACUGAUUUUCAUAUGCAUGCAAUUGCUGAUUUUACUCUGUUAGACAAUUUCCGUCAAACAUAAUCCUACUUAGACAAUAUGUGUUUUCAGGAUGGUGAAAUUAAAUUCAAAAAGGAUGGUGAAAUUCGAUUGCCGAUGCUCUAUAACAGUCAUUACAGACUUAGAAUUAGACACCAAGAAGAAAAUUUUGAUGUUAGAUUCUCAAUUUUAUAAGUUGCUAAAUCUUAAAGAAAAAAAAAACAUCAAAUUUUCUUGUAUGUAGGUUUUUGCAAACCUAUGAUAAAGACAACAAUUGUUUUAAAGUUAAAGAUAAGACCAUAUCAUUCAGUCUUGGUGAUAUAGUAAAGAUCGCCGGUUUGCGUGAAACCGGUGAAUGCUUUACUGAGGAAAAAACCUAUAUGCAAACUCAAACCUGGUAUGAUGAGUUAUACCAGCGAUAUAAAUCUAGCAUUGAGGUAGCGAAAAGCAAGAAAGAAAAAACCCCGACAACGACUAAGUUCCAACAAGGGGGUAAAGUUAAAAGCUGUAGGUCUGGGCGUAUUACAACUGUUUUUUAUUUACUUCAGUUGACAGUUGAAAGCAAGUGUAGGGAAUAUUUCAAGCAUUAUCCCUAGCUUGAACCCCACUGUGAUCAUACACUUAAGCAUGGUGGCGUCCAAAGGGAAGGAAACUAGAGCAAAAGACUCGCCAACAAGUUUUAGGAACUUGUAAACCGUUCACGAGGUGAAGGUUACACCUCUAACGAUCCAGGAGAUUGUCAACUUCAAUAUGUCUGGAACCAUAACUGGUAUCUCGGGGAUGAAGGAUGAAGAAAUUUUUAGGAAGCUAUUAAGUUUCUACUUAAUGAGUUUUUUUGUAAAUGCACCAACGGAUGGCUUUGGAGCCUCCUUUUAAUUCUUGGCGGUAGAAAAUUUGGUCAGCUUUGAAAAGAUUUGUUGGGCGCAAGUGAUGCUCAACAAGAUUUUUGAGAAUGCUGAAAAGAUCGUUUCUAAUGACCAAAGAUACAACACAUGUUGCUUCCCGGUUGUCGAGGCGUUUGUAUAUGGCAAGCUUCAUCAACUUCUCAAGUCCAAACAAAUGAGCGACUGGAAGGAAGAUGAUAUUGAGCUUAACAGAUAUGAAUUCUUAAGAUGGAAUGACAAUGAUAUCCGACAAUUGAUUAUUGGUGAAGUAAGUUGAUUUUGGUGAUUAUUUAUUGAUCCCACAAUUGAUUAUUGGUGAAGUAAGUUGAUUUUGGUGAAUGUUUAAGCAAAAUGAGCUUGAGAAUCUGGAGCUUGCGGCACAACAUCCGGUGAAUUACUCUUUUGGUGGUCUAACUUGUUUGUCUGUUGUUCAUAUUACAUUGACAUUUCUUCAAUAAGUAAUUCUUUUCCCAAAUAUGGAGUAAUUGUUUUCUGGUUGGGUUGGUCUGAGUGCCAACAAGCCUUACUCUAUACAACUUGCAUAAUGAUUACAACCUGAUUGUUUGAUUUUAUUUGUGAGUAUGUUUAGAUAUUAAAGUUUCUUUAUCAGCCAAUCAACUAUUAUCUAUAAAUCAUUUCUUGUUCA